rnacentral:tRNA from 1 species
GCAUGAUGGCUCAGUUGGUAGAGCAUGCGACUCUUGAUCUCAGGGGUGUGAGUUCAAGCCCCACAUGGGGCA